rnacentral:lncRNA from 1 species
UGCUGAAGGAAGAUUUUGGUGGACCACAACAAUGUAGUGAAUUGACUAAUCCAGCAGCUCUGCCUACUAACAAUCUUGCCAACGUAACUGAGACCAAUGUGCUAAGAACUGGACAAGUAGGUGCGACUGUAGAACAUAAGGCAGGUGUGAAGGAAGAUUUUGGACGAUCUGAUUCAGCAUUCAUAGAUGGGGCAAUGCAGAUUACUGCAGACCACAAAAUUUCCAGUGAACAGGCUGGGCAAUUGGUUGAUCUUAAUGGACAACAUCUCAGUUGCAUCAUGCAGUAAGAUUUUGGUCGAUCUGAUUCAGCAGUCAUUCAUGGGGCAAUGCAGAUUACAGCAAACCACAAAAUUUCAAGUAAACAGGCUGGGCAAUUGGUUGAUCUUAUUGGACAACAUCUCAGUUGCAUCAUGCAGAUGAUAGGAGCCCAAAAAUCUGUUUCUGAUCCUGCACAAUCCAUUCCUAGUCCAAAGGGUGCGUCUGCCUAGAGUGAAACUCACAAUGCAAAAAGGAGUGAAGUGGAGUAGAUCGACUAGCAGCAGAUAGUGCAGAACUCUAACAGCAAUAACAUUUCACUGGUUGGACAAUCAAAAUGAUGAAACUGACAAUGCAAAAAGUAGUGAAGUGGAGCAGAUCGACCAGCUGCAGAUAGUGCAGAACUCUAACAGCAAUAACAUUUCAUUGGUUGGACAAUCAAAAGGAUUUAAUAUGGAGGCAUCAAAUUUUUUCAAUCCUAUCGCUAAUCAAAAUGCUAUGUCAAUUAAGUCAAGGGAGAAGUCGAUAGUAACAAACGUAAUUGAUAGCUCAAAAAAACCUGAACAACAACAUCACACAGAACCGAGAAAAACAUCUGUUUUGGUUAAGCACACUAAAAUAGAUGAUGCUGCUGAGGACAACAUCAGAACCAACAGGUCGAUAAAUAAUGAACUACUUGAUGCACACUCUAUUUCCUUUGAACUGGAAAAUCCUUUGCAAUAUCCUGCUGAUCAAGCUAAAUCUGGGAUAACUAAUAUUGAUGCUGUGAGACAAUCAACAAGUCUUAAAGAAGAUGAGGGUGCUCAGAAUUAUGAUCGAGCUAAAUCUGGGAUAACUAAUAUUGAUGUUGUGAGACAAUCAACAAGUCUAAAAGAAGAUGAGGGUGCUCAGAAUUCAGAUCAUCAUCAGAUCUCUCGUCAAUUUAAAAUGACUCAACAAGGCAGCGUGGUCUCUGCUCCAGCAGCUGCAGUUUCUAAUGAAGACUUAAUUGAAAGUGGUUUACAGUUACAUCUUGAGAAUUUUUCUCAACAAACAAUUGAAGUUACUCAACAUACUACAAAUAGCGGCACAUCGAUAUCUAAUAGAAAUCCAACUCCACAAAUCAAAAACAAAAUGUAUAUCUCUGAAAAGUGCCCAGCUUCACAUACAAACUCAAAUUCUCUUGCUGCACUUUCAGAUUUGAAUAUUGAGAAGGGAACCAUGAAUGGAGAGAAGCCGACAAUUAACAAAUGUUACGGAGAUCCAUCAUCAUCCUCUGCAAAUAACAAACAGGUUCCUAUGAGGGACAUGGUCAUUAAAUCAAAGAAAGACCAACGAGAUUAUGAUGACAAGGAGGGCUGGGGAGAAGGUUUUGCUGCUUUUUCGUCUUCAGACGAUGACUGAGAUUUUGAGGACGACACUGUUGGAGAGGACAGUGAGGAUCAGUUCAAAAAUCAAAGGAAGUUAGCGACAGUUAAGUGUACUGCUAAUCUGCAAAUAGUAG